rnacentral:rRNA from 1 species
CCUACGGGAGGCUGCAGUGAGGAAUAUUGGUCAAUGGACGAGAGUCUGAACCAGCCAAGUAGCGUGAAGGAUGACUGCCCUAUGGGUUGUAAACUUCUUUUAUAAAGGAAUAAAACGAGGCACGUGUUCCUUUUUGCAUGUACUUUAUGAAUAAGGAUCGGCUAACUCCGUGCCAGCAGCCGCUGUAAUACGGAGGAUCCGAGCGUUAUCCGGAUUUAUUGGGUUUAAAGGGAGCGUAGAUGGGUUGUUAAGUCAGUUGUGAAAGUUUGCGGCUCAACCGUAAAAUUGCAAUUGAUACUGGCAGUCGUGAGUACAGUUGAGGUAGGCGGAAUUCGUGGUGUAGCGGUGAAAUGCUUAGAUAUCACGAAGAACCCCGAUUGCGAAGGCAGCUUACUAAACUGUGACUGACAUUGAUGCUCGAAAGUGUGGGUAUCAAACAGGAUGAGAUACCCCUGUAGUC